GACCAAGGAGUCUGACAUGUGU
rnacentral:siRNA from 1 species